GUCUAUUUAGUCUCCAGACUACAUUCCCUUAUACACCCUAUUAAUUUCUAUAAGCCGUCGGCGAUACCUUUAUCCAUUUAGCUGAAACACAUUCAUCAGAACGCUUGUGUGCGGCUCUAUCCCUAAACUGUCAACUCAACAUAAUUUCAAUUCCACAAAUUCUAAAUCAAUUAAUGUUAAGCUCUAUCCGAAAACUUCGAAUUUUUUGUGCGCCAGAGGGGCUUGUGCGGCGGGGGAUGCACUGCCCUAAAUUGGAAACAACAAAUGUCAGCAGUUUUAUGUACUGCAGACCACCACCGGCAGCAGCAACAACAACAACGGCAGACAAAUACAAUGUAUAAAUGAUGAUGUGGCUGAUGAUGAAUGCACAAGGAUGUGCCUGUGCGAGUGUGUGUGUUUUCCCGGGCAUCCAGUUCCACUGCACCAGCAACACCCACCGCCGCCGACCCACCCACAACUCCACAGAGUGCAUUGUAGUGCCACUUGGUGGUCCUGGGCCCUCUUUUGCGUCCUGGGGCGGCCCGACGCUGAUGUUUUGCGAGUGCUGCGGUGAAAAUUAAAAUUACUUUGGUUACGUCAAAUAAUGUUGCCUGCGGCGCUGUCCAGGACUCAAAACAUAAAGCGAUGGCAAAGAAGAACGGGUUGCCCAGAGGAGCGACGCAAAAAGGAUGCCAAAGCCAGCAUCUUCACCGGCAAAAGGCAACAAUUUAUAGUGGCCACCGAAGAAGGUAUAGUGAUAAAUUUGACAUGGCCAGCGCACAGACCCAAAAGGCAGCUGCGAAGAAUGUAGUUGUGGAAGGCAGCAAGUGCUGCAUUCCAUCCCAACGUUCUCUUCAUCAAUUUUAAUUAUGCCCAAGACGGAACAAUGGCCGCAUUCUAGCGAUGAUAUGGUUGGCAAGUACAAAAUUGGAGAGUAAAAUCCAGAGAUACCGAUCAGAUGGAUCCACCCUUCUUACUCGUGGGAAAUUCCUUGAUUAUUUAUAAUAGUAUCGAUAUAUAUAAAUUAAAGUUAUGCGCCCUCGAUUGUAAUAAAAUAAUCCACUUUAAUCUUAGCUUAAUUCUCAACUACUACGCCAACUCGUAUUGCAAUCAUGCUGGCGUUUACCUCCUUUCAAAUCAAAGGGAAAAUUUUUAUAACGAGCUGAGUUCGUGAAAGUACACAGAGGAAGGGAGAGACACAAACUACUUGCAUGCAAUAUUUUAUGUCAACAGAGUCCUGCACUUUCUUCGCGCGGUUGGAUGGAAUUGAACGCCAGAUGAAAGGAGCGGCGCCCCCCUUUUCCACCCAAUAUACCACCUUUUUCUUCCAACUCCGCCCCCUGCAUCACGUUUUACCUCUGGUCUCCAUCCAAAUGAUUUUACGGCAGACGCAAAGUGCAUCUCUCUGAAAAACAGGGUAGUAAUAUAAUUGGCUCUCCAGUUAAAUA